UACGUAGGGUGCAAGCGUUGUCCGGAAUUAUUGGGCGUAAAGGGCUCGUAGGCGGUCCAUCGCGUCGGGAGUGAAAAACUGGGGCUCAACCCCAGUCCUGCUUCCGAUACGGGUGGACUAGAGGUAUGCAGGGGAGAACGGAAUUCCUGGUGUAGCGGUGAAAUGCGCAGAUAUCAGGAGGAACACCGGUGGCGAAGGCGGUUCUCUGGGCAUUACCUGACGCUGAGGAGCGAAAGCGUGGGGAGCAAACAGG
rnacentral:rRNA from 1 species